GGUUGACCUCGGAUCAGGUAGGGAUACCCGCUGAACUUACGCAUAUCAAUAAGCGGAGGAAAAGAAACCAACAGGGAUUGCCUCAGUAACGGCGAGUGAAGCGGCAAGAGCUCAAAUUUGAAAGCUGGCCCCCUCGGGGUCCGCGUUGUAAUUUGCAGAGGAUGCUUCGGGUGCAGCCCCCGUCUAAGUGCCCUGGAACGGGCCGUCAUAGAGGGUGAGAAUCCCGUCUGGGACGGGGUGUCUGCGUCCGUGUGAAGCUCCUUCGACGAGUCGAGUUGUUUGGGAAUGCAGCUCUAAAUGGGUGGUAAAUUUCAUCUAAAGCUAAAUACUGGCCGGAGACCGAUAGCGCACAAGUAGAGUGAUCGAAAGAUGAAAAGCACUUUGAAAAGAGAGUUAAACAGCACGUGAAAUUGUUGAAAGGGAAGCGUUUGCGACCAGACUCGCCCGCGGGGUUCAGCCGGCAUUCGUGCCGGUGUACUUCCCCGUGGGCGGGCCAGCGUCGGUUUGGGCGGCCGGUCAAAGGCCCUCGGAAUGUAUCACCUCUCGGGGUGUCUUAUAGCCGAGGGUGCAAUGCGGCCUGCCCGGACCGAGGAACGCGCUUCGGCU
rnacentral:rRNA from 1 species